UCAGACGAUGCGUCAUGCAUAUCAAUAAGCGGAGGAAAAGAAACUAACAAGGAUUCCCUUAGUAACGGCGAGUGAAGCGGGAAGAGCUCAAAUUUGAAAUCUUCAAGGUUUUACCUUGACGAAUUGUUAGUUUAAAGAAGUGUUUUCUGUUGAAGUUUUGGUAAAAGUUCUUUGGAAUAGGACAUCAUAGAGGGUGAGAAUCCCGUAUUUGACCAUUAUUUCCAGCUGUGUGAUACACUUUCAAAGAGUCGGAUUGUUUGGGAAUGCAGUCCCAAAAUGGGUGGUAAAUUUCAUCUAAAGCUAAAUAUUGGCGAGAGACCGAUAGCGAACAAGUACCGUGAGGGAAAGAUGAAAAGAACUUUGAAAAGAGAGUUAAACAGUACGUGAAAUUGUCAAAAGGGAAGCGUUUGACACCAGUGUUGUUUUCUCGAAAAUCAAUUAAAAAGAGUUGGAUUUUGUGUUGUAUUGACCUUAACAGCUUGCUUCACUCUUUUCCUGCUUUUUUUAAUGCACUUUUCGUUUAACAAGUCAACAUCAAUUUCUUUUGUUGUAAAAGGGUCAUUGGAAGGUGGCUUUCUCUUCGGAGAAAGUGUUUAUAGCCUUUGAUCUCUGCAAUCGGAGAGACUGAGGUCUGCAGCGUAGAUCCUUCGGGGUUAGAUACAUUUGUGCUAAGCUACAGCUUUUCAUAGACAACUUGUUGACUAUGUUUAGUCUUGUAACUUACCCGCUUAUGCUAUUUUACCUACGCUUAGGAUGUUGAUAUGCAUGACUGAUAU
rnacentral:rRNA from 1 species